UGAGGAAUAUUGGUCAAUGGGCGAGAGCCUGAACCAGCCAAGUAGCGUGCAGGAUGACGGCCCUAUGGGUUGUAAACUGCUUUUAUAUGGGAAUAAAGUGAGGGACGUGUCCCUUAUUGCAUGUACCAUACGAAUAAGGACCGGCUAAUUCCGUGCCAGCAGCCGCGGUAAUACGGAAGGUCCAGGCGUUAUCCGGAUUUAUUGGGUUUAAAGGGAGCGUAGGCUGUUUGUUAAGCGUGUUGUGAAAUGUAAGAGCUCAACUUUUAGAUUGCAGCGCAAACUGGCAGACUUGAGUGCGCACAACGUAGGCGGAAUUCAUGGUGUAGCGGUGAAAUGCUUAGAUAUCAUGACGAACUCCGAUUGCGAAGGCAGCUUACGGGAGCGCAACUGACGCUAAAGCUCGAAGGUGCGGGUAUCGAACAGG
rnacentral:rRNA from 1 species